rnacentral:tRNA from 1 species
GCGGGAGUAGCUCAAUGGUAGAGCCUCGCCCUUCCAAGGCGACAACGCGGGUUCGAUCCCCGUCUCCCGCU